GCCCCGCCCCCACCUCGCCUCCCCGCCGUAAUCCAGCCGCCGGUCUACGUCCGGGAGACCUUGGUUCUCCCCACCCGAAGGGGUGAAAACUGUGGUGGAACCUUGGGUUCAACCAGCAGGCCGCGGAAGUACUGUUCCCGAACAGUCUCGUGUUUCUUUUCAUUCUAAUCCUGACUCGGGAGCGAGACGUUCUUCAGCUCCUUGGCAACGGCUAGGCCGGUCGUACGUAGUCGUCGCUCCGUUCAUUCGCUCGCUCUUUGGUCACUUUCCACUCCUUCCCUUCCACUUACGCGGUGACUACAGUUCGAAGGUCGCUCCGGCGGAAGCGGCCCUCCGACGCCAGAUCACAGGCCCGGGCCCAGGUCGACCCUGUCACCGGGGACGGCAGGGUGAAGGCACUGCCACCGACCGUCUCCCCUCGUCGCGGUCUCCUGGAGCGCUUAGGAAGCCUAGCAGCAGACUUGGCUCUGCAGGGAAAUAAAGGCUUUCUGACCCUUGCAUUUGUAACUUCUCUCGAAGUAGCUUAAGUGUCAGACACACAUAGUAUAUAGCAAGAUACAGCAAGACUGUAGCAAGAGGCAUCUUCUCACGAAAAAACUUUUUUUUCUGUAUUUUUUAUAAAAUUGUGUCCAGACCUGGUAGCCACUUUCCUUCUGCCUUACUUGUAUAUAAUUCUGAUGAUCCUUAAUAAUCAAAUUAUGUUCUCUGUAUAUUGGUAUGAAACAGAUUUUGUUGGCAGUUUUAUUUCCUUAAUACUAGUACAGCACCUCGCCCAUAGCAGUCACUGUAAAUUUUGUAGAGAAAAAGAGUUCAUGGUUUGCCCAGCUAGGGGAGUUAAGGUGACCGAGUCAAAGUCCGGGCUUGCAGAGCUUCUGUCUAAUAGAAAGGAUUCCAGUAGGGAAAGAGAUUGGUUCGAGUUGAUUCUGUAGAAGAAAGAACACAAGUGGGAAUAAAGUAGAAACAGGAACCUGUGAAGGAAAAGAAGACCUUUAAAUAAUUUGCAACGAAUUUAAAUAACUUUUUAAACUCAACAAAAAGCAUCUCAAUUUAAAAAUUGGCAAAUGAUAUGAAUAGAAAUCUUAACCAAAGAAGAUACAAAGACGGCAAGUAAGCAUAUGAAAAGAUGUUCACCAUCAUCUGUCAGCAAGGAAAUAUAAAUUAAUAUGAUGAGAUAUACACCUGUUAGCAACUGCUGUACAGUUGUACAGGUUUUUACUCUAAUAUGUUAUAUACCCAUCAUAUGAUAUCAUAUAGAAUCCUUUCACUACCAUAAAAAUGCCCUACACCCC
rnacentral:lncRNA from 1 species